rnacentral:lncRNA from 1 species
GUGCUCGCGCUCGCGGUUCUGGCGCUGCCGGACCAUGCUGUGUCCCCAUGGCUUUCAAGCUGAAGAAAUGAAGGUCUAAAGUGUGUCAGACGUACCUAAAGAAGAGUUCAAAAGUGUAGCUGCCAUCCUUUCCUUAGCUAUCAGAGGAAGCAGUCACUCCAGAAUGAGACAUACACAAGCCCGGGUUCAUAGACUCACCCUCCAUAAGCUGUGUUGCUAGAUUGAAGUUUUUAAUCACCAGUGAAGAAUUGAUUGUCAUAAUUUUAGGAGACUACUGAAGUUUGCCUUGUUUCUUUCCCUAGGAAAGGAAUAAUGCUGACAGCAUGUCUGCACAUUCCAUGCUCUGUGAACGAAUCGCCAUAGCCAAGGAACUGAUCAAGAGAGCAGAAUCACUUUCUAGAUCAAGAAAAGGUGGCAUAGAAGGUGGUGCAAAGCUGUGCAGCAAAUUGAAGGCAGAAUUAAAAUUCUUGCAGAAAGUAGAAGCUGGGAAAGUAGCUAUUAAAGAGUCUCAUUUACAGAGCACUAACCUAACACACCUGAGAGCCAUUGUGGAAUCAGCAGAAAACCUGGAAGAAGUU